UAGAUUGGAUUCGAUGUGCUUUAUAUUAUCAAAGAUUUUUUGAAGAAAGCGUCAUCUCUUUGGGACACUGCAAUCUGGUUGUUGAGUGAUGACAUAAGAAAUCAUCUCAGUUGUUCUCCUGACUAAAGUUUGGUCUGUUUACACCAUCUUUUUCCUGCCAUGCGAUUCCAUUUGUCCCUAACCAUCAGGAACCCUCAUUUUAACUUUUAUUGAGAGGAAAAAAGUUAACCACACAGAGUUCGAGUAGCAGACACAUCUCUACGUCAACUGUUCAGAGGACAAUCCUUGAAUCAGGCCUUCAUGGUCAAAUAGCUGCAAAGAAACCACUACUAAGGAAACGCAACAAGCAGAAGAGAUUGGUUUGGGCCAAGAAGCACAAGGAAUGAACAUUAGACCAGUGGAAAUCUGUGCUUUGGUCUGAUAAGUCCGAAUUUGAGAUCCUUGGUUCCACCUGCCGUGUCUUUGUGCGAUGCAGAAAAGGUGAACGGAUGGUCUCUACAUACAUGGUUUCCACUGUGAAGCCAUGGAGGAGGUGUGAUCAACGUGUGUCAAGUGCUUUGCUGAUGACACUGUUGGGAAUUUAUUCAAAGUUUAAUCACACUGAACAGUAACAUGCGGGGCGAGGGGCUUGAGCACCUGCCCCUUUCCUGAUGGGUGCCCCAAAUGCCCUUUUCCUGAGGCAAAUUUUUAUUUAUUUUUUUUAUUUUUAUUAUUUUUUUUAAUGUGUGCGUGCCCGUGGAGUCCUGCCUGUGCCCCUCAACAAUAACAUUUAACUAUUAAUCACAGUUUUGCGAAAUAAAAGGAUCUGGCUUGCAUCAGUCACAUGACUACCAUUAACCAAUGAUCGCCCUUGACGGAAGAGCGCGCUGGUUAUGAACUGGGAACGAGCACGCGCAUUUUUUGCCGUCUGAGCCGUCGGAGAAACACAGGUUAAUUGGGAGAGGCAGACUGAUGCAAGAAAACCCAUCUACAGUCCCAGAUCAACAGAGCCCUUCCCUCCGGCACUAUCAGCAGCAGCAACCCCUCAACAGUGCCAUUGUACCGCAUCAGGUCCACAGCGGGGACAGGUCUCUCCAGCACCAGGAUCAGUUCUUUGCCAAGGUCGAACCACUCCAGCAAGGACACAGGUGCUGAUGUUCCCACUGACCCUUCUGCUUCACCUGCAAGUUUCAGCAUAAUGGCCAC